rnacentral:rRNA from 1 species
AGUGAACGCUGGCGGUAGGCCUAACACAUGCAAGUCGAACGGCAGCACAGUAAGAGCUUGCUCUUACGGGUGGCGAGUGGCGGACGGGUGAGGAAUACAUCGGAAUCUACUUUUUCGUGGGGGAUAACGUAGGGAAACUUACGCUAAUACCGCAUACGACCUACGGGUGAAAGCAGGGGAUCUUCGGACCUUGCGCGAUUGAAUGAGCCGAUGCCGGAUUAGCUAGUUGGCGGGGUAAAGGCCCACCAAGGCGACGAUCCGUAGCUGGUCUGAGAGGAUGAUCAGCCACACUGGAACUGAGACACGGUCCAGACUCCUACGGGAGGCAGCAGUGGGGAAUAUUGGACAAUGGGCGCAAGCCUGAUCCAGCCAUACCGCGUGGGUGAAGAAGGCCUUCGGGUUGUAAAGCCCUUUUGUUGGGAAAGAAAAGCAGCAGGUUAAUACCCCGCUGUUCUGACGGUACCCAAAGAAUAAGCACCGGCUAACUGCGU